GACGAACGCUGGCGGCGUGCUUAACACAUGCAAGUCGAACGGAAAGGCCCUGCUUUUGUGGGGUGCUCGAGUGGCGAACGGGUGAGUAACACGUGAGUAACCUGCCCUUGACUUUGGGAUAACUUCAUGAAACUGGGGCUAAUACCGGAUAGGAGCUCCUGCUGCAUGGUGGGGGUUAGAAAGUUUCGGCGGUUGGGGAUGGACUCGCGGCUUAUCAGCUUGUUGGUGGGGUAGUGGCUUACCAAGGCUUUGACGGGUAGCCGGCCUGAGAGGGUGACCGGCCACAUUGGGACUGAGAUACGGCCCAGACUCCUACGGGAGGCAGCAGUGGGGAAUAUUGCACAAUGGGCGGAAGCCUGAUGCAGCAACGCCGCGUGCGGGAUGACGGCCUUCGGGUUGUAAACCGCUUUCGCCUGUGACGAAGCGUGAGUGACGGUAAUGGGUAAAGAAGCACCGGCUAACUACGUG
rnacentral:rRNA from 1 species